GAUGAACGCUGGCGGCGUGCCUAAUACAUGCAAGUCGAGCGAACAGACGAGGAGCUUGCUCCUUUGACGUUAGCGGCGGACGGGUGAGUAACACGUGGGUAACCUACCUAUAAGACUGGGAUAACUUCGGGAAACCGGAGCUAAUACCGGAUAAUAUUUCGAACCGCAUGGUUCGAUAGUGAAAGAUGGCUCUGCUAUCACUUAUAGAUGGACCUGCGCCGUAUUAGCUAGUUGGUAAGGUAACGGCUUACCAAGGCAACGAUACGUAGCCGACCUGAGAGGGUGUUGGGCGCCACUGGAACUGAGACACGGUCCAGACUCCUACGGGAGGCAGCAGUAGCGAAUCGUGCGCAAUGGGCGAAAGCCUGACGGAGCAACGCCGCGUGAGUGAUGAAGGUCCUCGGAUCGUAAAACUCUGUUAUGAGGGAAGAACAAACGUGUAAGUAACUGUGCACGUCUUGACGGUACCUAAUCAGAAAGCCACGGCUAACUACGUG
rnacentral:rRNA from 1 species